GAUGAAGGAACGUAGCGAAAUGCGAUACGUAAUGUGAAUUGCAGAAUUCAGUGAAUCAUCGAAUCUUUGAACGCAUAUUGCGCUCUCUGGUAUUCCGGAGAGCAUGCUUGUUUGAGUAUCAGUAAACACCUCAACUCCCUUUUCUUUUUUGAAAUGGGAGCUGGACUUGAGUGAUCCCAACGCUUUUCUCACCGGAAAGUGGCGGGUUACUUGAAAUGCAGGUGCAGCUGGACUUUUCUCUGAGCUAUAAGCAUAUCUAUUUAGUCUGCCUAAAAACAGAUUAUUACCUUUGCUGCAGCUAACAUAAAGGAGAUUAGUUCUUGUGCUGACUGAUGCAGGAUUCACAGAGACAGCUUCGGCUGACUUUGUAAACUCGAUCUCAAAUCAAGUAAGACUACCCGCUGAACUUAAGCAUAUCAAUAAGCGGAGGA
rnacentral:misc_RNA from 1 species